rnacentral:rRNA from 1 species
ACGUAGGGUGCAAGCGUUAAUCGGAAUUACUGGGCGUAAAGCGUGCGCAGGCGGUGAUGUAAGACAGGUGUGAAAUCCCCGGGCUUAACCUGGGAACUGCAUUUGUGACUGCAUCGCUGGAGUGCGGCAGAUGGGGAUGGAAUUCCGCGUGUAGCAGUGAAAUGCGUAGAGAUCGGGAGGAACAUCAGUGGCGAAGGCGGCCAUCUGGGACAACACUGACGCUGAAGCACGAAAGCGUGGGGAGCAAACAGGA